rnacentral:tRNA from 1 species
GCUCUUGUAGCUCAGUUGGUAGAGCACCAUCCCCGUAAGAUGGGGGUCCUGGGUUCGAUUCCCAGCAAGAGCU